AACCAUUCUCACCUGCGGCUAGACCUGCGGAAGGAUCAUUAUUGAUUGAUAAAGGGAUGUGCUGGCAAAAAUUCUAUUUUUGCAAUGUGCACUCCUGAAAUCUUCAUCCACUUUGUGCACUUUGUAGACAAAGUUGCUUUUUGUGACUUUUGUCUAUGCUUUUUAAUACACAUUCAUCAGUAUUAAAUAAUUUUUCUGACUGGUUAAAGUCAAAAAUUUUGAUACAACUUUUAACAACGG
rnacentral:misc_RNA from 1 species